AGCAACCACUUCUAUCAGAAUGUCCCUCAGAUCCUCCCAUCUCUUCCAAGCCACUCCUUCCAGACCUGUGUUUGGGCCCCACGCUAGUAGUAGUCAUACGGCUGUGAAAAGAACCGUAACAUUGGGAAGAAGGGGGCAGUCAGCCCAUCUGUAACCCUGGAGGUUUCAGGCCACAGGACUGAGCUGGUCUCAGGUCAGCAGUGUACAGAGUUCCUCCCAGCUUACCAGCAGAGACUGACUUGUGGCAGCAGUGGGACGGAUUUUUGACAGCACCUGGGUAAUGAGGCCUUCAGCCUUCCCUUAAGCCUCAAAGCCCCUUAAACUCUCUGAUUGCUGCAGACUGAGGGAGCUCCGAAGCUUCACAGCAUAGGAGAGGCAAGGAGGAGGCCAGAAGACAAGAGUAGAAAUGGAAGCUGGACUGAAACCAUCUGCAGCCUUGAGCUUGGAGAUGGGACCCAGACUCCAACUGAUUACCUACAGGAGAGGUCUACUGGCCCUCUGAGCAUAUCCAUGGCCUCUCCUCUGGAUUCACUCCAACAGCUCUAUGUCUUGUGAUGAUGGCCCAGACCUGGGCACAGUACUCCAGAUUGGACCACAGGAGGGCAGAGCAGAGGGGGACAACCCUCUGCCGCUCCUGUGUCGAUGCAGCCCAAGUUGCUGUUGGCCCUCCAGGCUGCAGGUGCACACUAUUGGCUCAUGUCCAGCUUUUCAUCCAUCAGGAUGCCCAAGUCCUACUCUGCAGGGCUGCUCUCAAGGAACUCUUCUCCCUUUCUACACUCAUAUCUGGGAUUGCCCUGACUCAAGUGCAACACCUUGCACUUGCUUUGCUAAGAGGUAAACACUUUACAGAGCAAUUUGUCAUAGAAAAUAUCUUGGAUCAUGUGCCCUCAAGGCAUCUCCAUUUAAAUCAAAAAGAAGUUAGCUCGACAUUAACAUUUCAGAGGGGGAUUUUAGAGAAAUAAAGGGAAUUAUUCAGAGAAAUCAACUGAACUUAGAACAAUAUGGAUCAUAUAUCCCAGGCAAGAGAGGAAAGCUCUCAGGGGAAAGGCUAAUGCCUUAAUUGGAUGAAGAAUUACCACAAAAAGAAAAUUAGGAAUAACCACAAGCCUGCAGUGGAUGGAAAAAGGAAUUAACCAGCAAAGAGAAUUUGAUGUUAGAGGUCAGGAAGUGUAGGGGUAACAUGAGAAUCGCCAAAGUCAAGCUGCGUUCGAUCUUGCAAAGGAAAUUAAAACAACUAGUAAAAUGUUCAUGAGUCACAAAUGAGAAGAGAACAAAGAAAUGCGGUUUCUGUGUGCCCAGGAUGUGGUGAAGCUUAAAGAUACUGAACUCCAUCCCUCAAAUUAGGUGCCUGUUUUGUGUCAGGCUUUGGGAAGAAAAAGGAUCCUGAAUCCCAGGACAAAGGGAAGAUGGAUGAGGGACAUCAGGAUAUGGAAAUGACCACAUCUGAAGGGAAUGAAAAUCUGAACGAGCUAAGUGCAUACAAACUGAAAGAACUGGACCAGCUCCACCCCAGAGACAGGGAAGAGUCAGGCUAUCAAGUUUUAAGUCCA
rnacentral:lncRNA from 1 species